rnacentral:rRNA from 1 species
GACCGGCGCACGGGUGCGUAACACGUAUGCAACCUACCUAUAACUGGGGAAUAGCUCUCCGAAAGGAGAAUUAACACCGCAUAACAUCAUCCCGCAGCAUUGCGGGAUGAUCAAACCUCCGGGGGUUAUAGAUGGGCAUGCGUAACAUUAGCUAGUUGGUGAGGUAACGGCUCACCAAGGCGACGAUGUUUAGGGGGUCUGAGAGGACGAUCCCCCACACUGGUACUGAGACACGGACCAGACUCCUACGGGAGGCAGCAGUAAGGAAUAUUGGACAAUGGGGGCAACCCUGAUCCAGCCAUGCCGCGUGAAGGAUGAAGGCGCUCUGCGUCGUAAACUUCUUUUGCUCGGGAAAAAUUUGCCGAUUUCUAUCGGCAUUGAUUGUACCGAGAGAAUAAGGAUCGGCUAACUUCGUGCCAGCAGCCGCGGUAAUACGAAGGAUCCAAGCGUUAUCCGGAUUUAUUGGGUUUAAAGGGUGCGUAGGCGGGUUGUUAAGUCAGUGGUGAAAUCUUGCAGCUUAACUGUAAAAUUGCCAUUGAUACUGACGAUCUUGAGUACACUUGAAGUGGGCGGAAUAUGUCAUGUAGAGGUGAAAUUCUUAGAGAUGACAUAGAACACCGAUUGCGAAGGCAGCUCACUAAAUUGUAAC